GUCUCAACACUUGAUUACACCUAUGGACCCGGCCUAGAGAUUACGGGACACUGAGACUGGAGGGAGGGAAGGGGAUCACCCCACCCUUUCCACACCUUACUCCCAGCUUCUGUCCCCAGGGAGAAGAGCUGCCACAUCAAGCCUCAGGAACUCUCCUUUGACCCUGAACUGCCCAAUUCCCUUCUUUCCUGACGAUGCCAGCAGAGGGCACCAGGAGCCACGCAGGAGCUGCGGGACAUCCUGGCCACAGGGAUGCCGCCCUCAGCCAGCCUCACCUGCGAAUGGAACAGGGGGCCGCCUGGCUGCAGCGAUCCCUCAGAGAGCGGUCCCUGCUGCCUUGCACAAACCUGCCUCUGAGAUCAGCCGUCCUUUCAUGGAGAGCAGGUGAGAUCCCCAGACACAGAACCAAGGUCUGCCUUCAUCCUGGGGUUUUCAGGGCAGAGGCCCAGAUCCCACAAAGGUGAUGUGCUCAGGAAGCCACAGUGGAGCCCCAGAU